rnacentral:rRNA from 1 species
GAUCAUGGCUCAGGACGAACGCUGGCGGCGUGCCUAACACAUGCAAGUCGAACGGAGCUAAAGAGCUUGCUUUUUAGCUUAGUGGCGGACGGGUGAGUAAUGCGUGAGCAACCUGCCUGUCAGUGGGGGAUAACUUCCGGAAACGGACGCUAAUACCGCAUAUGGUACAUAAUCCGCAUGGAUAAGUGUAUGAAAGGAGUAAUCCGCUGAUAGAUGGGCUCAUGUCCGA